AAGAGACAGCAGUAGCCGCGGGAAUACGGAGGGAGCUAGCGUUGUUCGGAAUUACUGGGCGUAAAGCGCGCGUAGGCGGUUACUCAAGUCAGAGGUGAAAGCCCGGGGCUCAACCCCGGAACUGCCUUUGAAACUAGGUGACUAGAAUCUUGGAGAGGUCAGUGGAAUUCCGAGUGUAGAGGUGAAAUUCGUAGAUAUUCGGAAGAACACCAGUGGCGAAGGCGACUGACUGGACAAGUAUUGACGCUGAGGUGCGAAAGCGUGGGGAGCAAACAGGAUUAGAUACCCCGGUAGUCCCUGUCUCUUAUAC
rnacentral:rRNA from 1 species